CAAUAGCGUAUAUUUAAGUUGUUGCAGUUAAAAAGCUCGUAGUUGGAUUUCGGGUGGGACGCAGCGGUCUCGCAUUGCGUUUGUACUGCUGCAGCCCUCCUUCUUGCCGGGGGCGGCCUCUCGGACUUCACUGUCUGGGGGUCAGAAUCGGCGAUGUUACUUUGAGUAAAUUAGAGUGUUCAAAGCAAGCUUACGCUCUGAAUAUAAUAGCAUGGGAUAGCACGACAGGACUCUGGCCUAUCGUGUUGGUCUAUAGGACCAGAGUAAUGAUUAAGAGGGACAGUCGGGGGCAUUCGUAUUCCGUUGUCAGAGGUGAAAUUCUUGGAUUUACGGAAGACGAACAUCUGCGAAAGCAUUUGCCAAGGAUGUUUNCAUUGA
rnacentral:rRNA from 1 species